AUAUAAUUAAUUAUGUUUUCUAUAUCAUAUGCAUAUAUCAAAUGUUGUGGCUCUAACAGAUAGUUCGUAUUAUGAUACUGGUUACUUGAAAUCUUGAAAGAAAUAUAAUGUUAUACUAUAUUUACUUGAUAUGAUUAAGAUUUUGUAGGGUUCCAAAUGGUGCAGCGAAAGACUGGCAUUUAAAAUUUUUAUUCAAAACACCAAGUGCACCAAAAAUCCUAAUGCCCA
rnacentral:lncRNA from 1 species